rnacentral:rRNA from 1 species
UACAGAGGGUGCAAGCGUUAAUCGGAAUUACUGGGCGUAAAGCGUGCGUAGACGGUUAUUUAAGUCAGGUGUGGAAGCCCAGGGCUCAACCUUGGAAUUGCAUUUGAGACUGCAUCGCUUGAAUCCGGGAGAGGUGAGUGGAAUUCCGAGUGUAGAGGUGAAAUUCGUAGAUAUUCGGAAGAACACCAGUGGCGAAGGCGGCUCACUGGCCCGGUACUGACGCUGAGGUGCGAAAGCGUGGGGAGCAAACAGG